GACGAGAAUCUGCGGAUCGAGGAUUCGUCCAAGUGAAGCAGACGACAGUGGCGGACGGGUGAGUAACGCGUGAGGAACCUGCCUUUCAGAGGGGGACAACAGUUGGAAACGACUGCUAAUACCGCAUGAUACAUUUGGGUGGCAUCAUCUGAAUGUCAAAGAUUUAUCGCUGAAAGAUGGCCUCGCGUCUGAUUAGCUAGUUGGUGAGGUAACGGCCCACCAAGGCGACGAUCAGUAGCCGGACUGAGAGGUUGACCGGCCACAUUGGGACUGAGAUACGGCCCAGACUCCUACGGGAGGCAGCAGUGGGGAAUAUUGGGCAAUGGGCGCAAGCCUGACCCAGCAACGCCGCGUGAAGGAAGAAGGCUUUCGGGUUGUAAACUUCUUUUAAGAGGGAAGAGCAGAAGACUGUACCUCUAGAAUAAGCCACGGCUAACUACGUGCCAGCAGCCGCGGUAAUACGUAGGUGGCAAGCGUUGUCCGGAUUUACUGGGUGUAGAGGGCGUGCAGCCGGGAAUGCAAGUCAGAUGUGAAAUCCAUGGGCUUAACCCAUGAACUGCAUUUGAAACUGUAUUUCUUGAGUACUGG
rnacentral:rRNA from 1 species